GGCAUCCCCAGUACACAGGCAAAAAGGCUCCGCCGCCCUCGCCGCCGCGGCGGCGAUCCUGAUGGUGUCGGUUGCCUUUGCGCAGCCGCCGCCGCCGUCGUGCGCGGCGAAUCUGGUACCCUGCCAGCCGUACCUGGCGUCGGACAAGCCGCCGGAGAGCUGCUGCGGGCCGCUGAAGCAGACGGUGAAGGAUCAGCUGCCGUGCCUCUGCGCGCUGUUCAGUAGCAAGGAUAUCUUGAAAGACUUCGGCGUCAACCUCACCCAAGCUCUCGAUCUGCCGCUCCACUGCGGCAUCUCCAACAACCUAGCCGCCUGCUCCGCUUCGUCUCUUAAUGCUACAAACAAGGCUCCAGUUUCUCCUACUGGAAAUAAUAGCAAUGUUGCACACAGGGUGGGGCCAAUUGCGAUUUCGAGCCUGACUAGUUUGUUACUGCUAUUGUGGUCCAUGGCAUAAAAUGGAUACACCAUUACUCCUUAAAAAGAAGGAUAAGUGGAGCAUUGUUAUGUCACAUAGUUUGUCGAGUUGCAUCGUAUGUGUUUCGACAUUCUUUGUUACUAUUAUCUGUAUCUCAUCGUUAUGUACCACAAUAUUAUCAACUCGA
rnacentral:misc_RNA from 1 species